rnacentral:rRNA from 1 species
CACGUAGGGGGCAAGCGUUGUCCGGAUUCAUUGGGCGUAAAGAGCUCGUAGGCGGCUCAGUAAGUCGGGUGUGAAACCCUCAGGCUCAACCUGGGGACGCCACUCGAUACUGCUGUGGCUAGAGUCCAGUAGGGGAGUGUGGAAUUCCCGGUGUAGCGGUGAAAUGCGCAGAUAUCGUGAGGAAUACCAGAGGCGAAGGCGGCUACCUGGACAAUUGCUGACGCUCAGGCACGAAAGCGUGGGGAGCAAAAGGG